UGAGGGUGUUCAUGCAGACACUUCGCUGC
rnacentral:piRNA from 1 species